CUGCAGCCAAUGAGAUAGAAAUGGAGAGAAGGGCAAUAGCAGCUUGCACAUGUCAAGGAUCUGCAGCGCAUGAAACCCCUUAAACUGAAGAUGAUGUUCCUGAAGCCUAGAGAUGUCAGCACUCGCAGUCAGCCGCUUUAUCAUCCAUUGCUCCAUUAACCUCAUCCACCUGGUCAACACAAUUCAAACAUACCAGAUACAGACUCAGUUAAAACAGAUAUGGGUGCAAGUCAUGACACUUUUACAGAUUAAAGAUGUCCGAGAUUCACGAUAAAUGCUGUUUGAAGAAGAAUGAACAGAAUCACAUUUUAAUUUAAUCUCACUGCCAAUGUGGACUUAAAGAGGACAGGCUCUGUUAUGACAACUGUAUUUUUAAGUAACAGAGAUAAGGGUGUUAUUGGAAUCAUUUCAAUAAAAUAUGGGAGUACCCGUACAUACCAGUUUGAUAUCUUGAUUAGACUGGGACUUAA